AGCCUUGUAGUGGUCAUAACCAUGUCGAAUUGCAAAUUCGAAGAAGCAGCUUCAAUUCUGCCGGGGCUU
rnacentral:tRNA from 1 species